CAGCUGUAAAUGUGAAACUCAGUGCAGUGUAGGAUCAAUUUUUACCACACCAUGGAAGUCAGUGGGAUGUGGCUCCCAUACAAGCCACCUAAAUCUAUGACCACAACAGAUAAUUGCCAUAGAAUAGAGAAAAGAAUCUGUAAGGUUAAUGAUAGCACAACAAUAAAUGUGGUGUCACUCCUCAUGAAUCUAUCAAGAUCUUUUGGCUCAACUUUGGCCAAGUUUUGCUAACUUCUGAAGCAG
rnacentral:misc_RNA from 1 species